GACGAACGCUGGCGGCGUGCCUAAUACAUGCAAGUAGAACGCAGUGGGGACGGGUGAGUAACACGUGGGUAACCUCCCAUCAGAGGGGAUAACAAUUGGAAACAGGUGCUAAACCGAUACUGAUGGAUGGACCAGCGGUGCAUUAGCUAGUUGGUGAGGUAACGGACCACCAAGGCAACGAUGCAUAGCCGACCUGAGAGGUGGAUCGGCCACACUGGGAUUGAGAAACGGCCCAGACUCCUACGGGAGGCAGCAGUGGGGAAUAUUGCACAAUGGGCGCAAGCCUGAUGCAGCCAUGCCGCGUGUAUGAAGAAGGCCUUCGGGUUGUAAAGUACUUUCAGCGAGGCGUUACUCGCAGAAGAAGCACCGGCUAACUCCGUGCCAGCAGCCGCGGUAAUAC
rnacentral:rRNA from 1 species